rnacentral:rRNA from 1 species
UACAGAGACCUCAAGCAUUAUCCGGAUUUAUUGGGCGUAAAGGGUCCGCAGGUGGCUAGUCACGUCACGGGUUAAAUGUCAGGGCUCAACUCUGACACCGCUCGUGAUACGGAUUAGCUCGAGCAUGGGAGAGGUACGCGGAAUUACAGGUGUAGUAGUAAAAUGCGUUAAUAUCUGUAAGAACACCAAAUGCGAAGGCAGCGUACUGGAACAUUGCUGACACUCAGGGACGAAAGCGUGGGGAGCGAAAGGG